rnacentral:rRNA from 1 species
CCUGGAAUUACCAUCUCCCAAGGCUAAAUACUCCCUAGUGACCGAUAGUGAACCAGUACCGUGAGGGAAAGGUGAAAAGCACCCCGGGAGGGGAGUGAAAGAGAACCUGAAACCGUGUGCCUACAAGUAGUUAGAGC